UGUAUUCCUGGUGAAUGAGCAAAAAGUUAAUUUCCACAGUACUAUGAUGAUUAAUUUAUGCAGUGGUUAAUUUGAGGUGGACUAUGAGAGAUAGAACAAAUUAGAAUCAAGAAGAUUAUAAAACAGCUACUGAAAUUCAAUAGGUAUAAUAUUGCUUACAGUUUCUUUGGUUCUUAUGUUAUAAUGGCAUUUUGUGAUCUGCAGGCUCCCCUCAUGGUUUUAGAUAGCCCGAUUAAUAAAGCUGGGAAGUUGCGAUGUGUGUAUAUGAAGACCGAGGAUGGUAAACUUAUUGAGAUUAAACCAUCUGUUCGUAUCCCAAGGUGUCAUGUUGCAGCUGCUACGGAAACUAAGUAUAGCUGAGCAAAAAAUCUAGGGAUUGAAAUUAAAAGCAGAAGAUGAGUACAUAUUAAAGGAGUUGACUAUUGUUAGACAGAGUUUUCUUGUUGGAGAGCUGUUAUUGUUGGCUGUGCUGCUAUUGCUGGAGUUGUAAGGAGCUAGCUUG